rnacentral:rRNA from 1 species
CCCUUUAAUGGCUGGUGUUCUAACGUAGACCCGUGAACCGGGUUGCGGACAGUGUCUGGUGGGUAGUUUGACUGGGGCGGUCUCCUCCUAAAGCGUAACGGAGGAGCACGAAGGUUGGCUAAUCCUGGUCGGACAUCAGGAGGUUAGUGCAAUGGCAUAAGCCAGCUUGACUGCGAGCGUGACGGCGCGAGCAGGUGCGAAAGCAGGUCAUAGUGAUCCGGUGGUUCUGAAUGGAAGGGCCAUCGCUCAACGGAUAAAAGGUACUCCGGGGAUAACAGGCUGAUACCGCCCAAGAGUUCAUAUCGACGGCGGUGUUUGGCACCUCGAUGUCGGCUCAUCACAUCCUGGGGCUGAAGUAGGUCCCAAGGGUAUGGCUGUUCGCCAUUUAAAGUGGUACGCGAGCUGGGUUUAGAACGUCGUGAGACAGUUCGGUCCCUAUCUGCCGUGGGCGCUGGAGAACUGAGGGGGGCUGCUCCUAGUACGAGAGGACCGGAGUGGACGCAUCACUGGUGUUCGGGUUGUCAUGCCAAUGGCACUGCCCGGUAGCUAAAUGCGGAAGAGAUAAGUGCUGAAAGCAUCUAAGCACGAAACUUGCCCCGAGAUGAGUUCUCCCUGAGACUACAAGUCUCCUGAAGGAACGUUGAAGACGACGACGUUGAUAGGCCGGGUGUGUAAGCGCAGCGAUGCGUUGAGCUAACCGGUACUAAUGAACCGUGAGGCUUAACCUUACAACGCCGAAGGUGUUU